GCCUUGCGCUUGUUAGGCAAGCGCUCUGCCGCUGAGCUAAAUCCCCAACCCCUCAUGUAGUCUUUCUAUAAUGGGAAAGACAGUCUCGUGAGGAUAUACACUACGUGUUACAUGGUAAUUUUGUGGCAUUCUGGGGCAGGGAGAUUGCUAACUACGGAAGCAGUGGUGAAACGUGACCGAUGGGAGUUAGCACAGACUAAGGGCCGACUAGGCAGACCGCAGGAUUUUUAUUUAGGUAGUGAGACUGCUAUCCACGACACCGUGCUUCACAGCCGUCUGGACCCUUACAGUGUGCAACACUGAUAGUGAAUCCUCACAUAAACUAUGAACACUGGGUAACAAAGAGCUCUCUGAGAUGUGAGCAUCUGGUUCACAUCUGUAACAGCAUUCAGGAGGCGGAUGACUGCAAAUUCAAGGCUAGCCUGGGCUACAUAAUCAGAGCUGAGCAGCCCGUAAGAGGAAGGCAUCAGUUAUGACAAAUGCAGUACUCUAUUUGACAUUAUUGAGACGGCCACGUGUGUGCAAUUGGGUAGGUUUGUGAAACCUCUAUUGUCUGCUCCAUUUUGUGAUAAACUGAAUAGUUUUCUUAAAAUAUAAUCCACUUAAAAGGAAAAGCAGAAAUCUCAACAAAGACAGCUACCCCUCUUCCAGAAAACUCCACUGUGGGAGGUAGCAGUUUGAUGAGCAGGAGAGUUAGGUGAGCUGCUGAGGUUGUCCCUUGACCUGAGUGGCAGGCAUGUUCUGCAUUCUGUGGCAGCUCGCCCAGUUGUCCACUUGGGUGUGUGUACUGGGGGAAGAGGCAAUGGGUAACAUGCCUAAGAGAGACUUAAAGUGAAACAAAAGGAACUUAAGCAGAGGGUGAGCAUGCUGGCCCACCCAAUCAUUCCCAACACUCAGGAGGCAGAAGCAGGUCAAACUCUGGGAGUUCAAAGCCAGCCUGGUCUAUGUACUAAGUUCCAGGACAGCAACACUGUGCCUUUCAAACAGUAACAACACCUCAAACUUAAGCAGGUCGCUGCCUCUGGGCCUGAGGAGUCCAGGUUUGGGAUAACUUGGCCAACUAAAAUCGGUCAGAUCUUUUAAUAUCUAGCUUCCUUGCUCAUGGAAGACAGUAAAUUUUCUACUUUAAGCUCCUGGGAAUUUAUUUAGGCACUCACUCUGACACUGAGCUGUAGCCCCAGCCCUCACUCAGGAAGUCUUCCUCCUUCCUUAUUGGUUCACAAUCCCACAGAACUCUUCAGACCGUAGGUUCUACUAACCUCGGGUCACCUCCUGAUGGUUUGCCUGUUGAGGCCAUGGGUCCUCUGGUGUAGGAGUGGAGCAUUAACAUCACUACAUACACACAAACUACUGGGAAGGAGCUCCCUCUGAAAACCCACAAUGGACAGCUACCAUGGUAACAUCAAAUUUGAUCUGAUUCCUUCUGUAUCUGAGUGUAGAUCAGCCUUUAUGAAAGCUGUGUGCUGGCAGUCUGAUUAUCUAUCUGUGAAAUGAGCCACAAGUGAAGCCGGCCUCUUCAGCUUCAGGAGAUGUCAUCGUUCCAGUUAUGGUUCAGUCAUUCUGAAGUAGCCAUUGCUAAAGGAGGAAGUAACAAGUGGCCAGCAAGAUUGGUCCAAAUCCCGGUAAAAAUGUGGUUUUUCACUCAUAAAUCAAGGAUAGUAACAAAGUAUGACUUAGUCUGUUGAGGAGGACUUAGCACAUUUUAGAUACUUUGCUGACAGAAGUCGCAUGAAAAUGCAGAGACUGUGGUAGCCUCUGUUAAGAUGUAUGAACUGGAGGGCAAUUCAUCUAGAAAACACUUUAUUACACAUGUGCUGGAAGUUAGUCCACUUAAGUAGGCAACGUUGGGAACCCAAAUCUUAUCGUAAACACACAUUGCACUACUUCUGAAUGUGUGUGUUUCUCUAGGAAAGCAACAGACUGCCACAUAUAAUCUAAAACGGCCAUUUCCUUCUCGUUAAAGGGAUUACAAACGUUGCAUUUGAAAUACUUCAUUUUUUAAAAAUCAAAAAUGAUAAAUAGCUCUUUUAAUUUUGAAAAAGGCUUACUGGUAGUUUGGAAAACACCACUGAUACCUAUAUUAAGAUUACAGCUGGGGUGGUUAUAACUGCUGAACCCCAGACCUAGCUGAGAACGUGUCCAGUGAGGAGAAGUUCAGAUGCUGCCAGUCUUGAGAGGAUACGAACUCACCUCAGGACUGACCCUGGCUUCACAGUGCUCCAUUUCCUAUUCUUCUAACCAGAGACCAAGGUAUGUUAAAAAGUAACAAUUCUUCUAAGUCCUCAGCCAAGACAAGCUCUGCCUCUCAAGGCAGACAAAUGACUACUGGUUUGUAAUGAAUGAAUGAAGAUCUCUCCACAUGGAUAUUUUGACGAGGGGGAAAUUAAGCAAACUAAUUGAGAUUAUUCAGUUUAGUAGAGCUGAGUCAUCAAUUUGUCUUCAAUCAUUUGCUUUAUCGACUCUCUGGUUCUUCACUGUAGGCUCACGUGAGUCUUAAACCCUCUUGACAUUACUGUCUCUAGUGCUGUUGGCUUCCAGUUUCGCUCACUGCUGUCAGGGGGUUGGGGGGGCUUUUAUAGAAUCCUGAGUAAAUGGUAACCACAGGAAAAGAAACAGUAUAAACACUGGGCUGUGUUCAUUUCUUUUUUCUUUUGUUCUUUUUCGAGACAGGGUUUCUCUGGUUGUCUUAUAACUCGCUCUGUAGAUCAGGCUGGCCCCAAAUUCUGAGAUCUGCUGGGAUUAGAGGGCUGUGUAUUUUCAGAUGUCAAGCUCAGUGCUCACUCUGAGUCUUCUGUAGAGGAGGUUUCAAUGGGUGUCUUCCACAAGAAUCUAAUGUAGGCUUGGAGAUGCCUGGGUGUUGGUGUUACAUUUCUGUCCUUAUGUCAGAGAAAUAAAAUAAGUCCUCUCCAAAUAAGUAAAAAAAUAUACUUUUUUAUGAAAUACUUCCAAGUAAACUUGUGUUAUCCCUCCAUUCCUGUCCCUCGUUCUCAGCUGUCACCUGGUCUCAGUGGAGAGUGAAGGGUAAAGCAUCAUGUGCUUCUAAUUUGCUGCUGAGAAUUGGGGACAUAGGAUCGGGUGAUAAUUCUUCUAAAACAAUGUAUUCCAUGCUGUUUUGGAGAGUGCAGUGGUGACCACUGGUAAUCCCAUCACUCCAGAGGGCCUAGAGAGCAGACUCUCUAGGGAAUAAGAGAACCUUGCUAGGAGGAGGGGAGGGGAGUGAGGAGAAGAGGAAAGGGGGAGGGGAGGGGAGAGGGAAGGGGAGGGGAGGAGAGAGGAGAGAAAGAGGGAGGAGAGUGGAGAGGAGAGGAAAGGGUGAGGGGAGUGCAGAGGAGAGAAGGAGAAAGGGAGAGGGGAGGGGAGAGGGAAGGGGGAGGGGAGGAGAGGGGAGGGAGAAUGCACAGGCACUUGCAGGGCUGCAGGGGUGGCUCAGCUGUUACCAAUGCUUGCGACUUUUUCAGGCAACCAAAGUUAGUUCCCAGCAUCCUUACUGGGCAGCUUAUACCUAAGCGUAGCUCCUUCUGGCCUCUUUGGGCACAUGCAUGUGUGUGUACUCCCUCUAAUACACACAUAUAAAUCUAACAUGGAGGGGUAAAAGGACAUGUUAGGCCAGUGCAGGGUGCGUGUGUAGCACACAAGGCCUGGGCUUCAUCUCCAGCACUGGGAGAGAUAGACAGCUUAAAUCAAAUCAAAUGAACAAUAUUUACCUAUCUGGAUUUGAAAAAAAUCAUACUAUGUUUUGUAUAUACUGUAGUAAGCUUGAAACUAUAAAACCUGAGUACCUUUAAUUUCCAUUUGUUCUACUUUGAUGACAUUUUAAAAAGUUUUAAACAUUUUACUUUUCUGAGUGGCUUUAUUCCUUGAGCAUAAAGGAUCUUACACAUUGGAAUGAAGACGGUAAAAUUGCUGUGUCUCUUAAAGCAGUGGAGCCAUAAUCCAUUAGAGAUUGGCCAGAGUUAGCCAGUGGAACGUAACACUUAAGUCUAACUUAGUAUCUUUGGGUUCAGAGAACCCAAAUAAAGGCAAUUCCAUGCCUAAUGACUGUUAGGGCUAUCUACCAGAGACUGCUCAGACAUGGGUUUAAGCCAAGAGAAAUCUUUAUUAAGCUGGCCAGUGACUACACUGGUGUUUGGGAUCUUAGUGCAUGCCUGAGUCUUUCUCAGAGUGAGCUUUUGAACACAGAGACCAUGUCCUAGGUUGAUAUACAUCAGUCGACAAGAAAAGUUAGCCAGAAGCAGGACUACAGAAAGUAAAAACCCUGGAGUACAUUUAGGGACCUUCCUAGAACUGUGGGCUUUGAUGGCUUAGGCCUUCGGUUUGGUAGGGGUGCUGCCUACUUGCUGAGGUUUACCGCCCGAAUGGUACUUCAGUCAUGGUCUCAGUCGUGCUAAGGUCUCCGGACCCUGUUACAUGGACCUUCCUAUAAAAAUAUUUAAAUAUAUUAAAAUUAUAUAUUUAAAAUAUAAAAUAUAUUAAAAUAUAAAAUAUAUAAAAUGCCUGCCCUGGGCGGUUCUUUUAACCUUAAUAAAAUUGUCUGGAGCCAGGGUGGGGGCCGGGGCGGGGGUGGCAAAUGAAAACUGGAAACACUUAAAACUGACACUGUAACACAGGGUUUCUGAGGUUCCUUUUUAUAACUUCUCUUGUUCUGAUUCCUCCCCUGCUGGGUUCAAAUCAAAGGGAUACCUUCACCAUCAAACACCACUUCCAGUGUUUGGUGCCUGUGGGCAGCUCAUCCUGAGACAGAAAUGAGCAGUGGCCCUGUGCAGGUAAGGUGUGCAUCUCUGUAGAGAACGUACAAACAGUCCCGUGAGAAAGUCAGUCGGUCAGCGGGUCAGUGUCGGUCGGUUGGUUGGUCAGCUGGGCGGCAGCAGCAGCAGUGAUGCAGCUGUCAGGGUAGAGGUGCCCGUCGCCCUCCCUGGUAAACUUCCACCCACAUCCUAGGCUCCGAGCAGAGCGCGUCAGUGAGCAGGAGACAGUUACUGUAGCAGGCCUCAGUUUCCCUCGAAUGUGAUAUGUUUUGAAAAUGUUAUGAAAAUUAAGACAGCCGACAGCUUGCUCCAGUUCUAAAUGUAGAAUACAGACAGUGGGUGUGAGUGGCCCUCCCCUGGGUGCUCAGGCUGUGACGUGACACUGUCUGUUAUUUACAUCUAGUGUGUGCGAGCCAGUGCGGGGCACAGGACUACCCUCACUAGUGAUUUGACUCCAUCACAGUCAUGGGAGCACCUGUUGUUAAGUAAGUUUAUUUAAUAAGUUUAUUGCUGUGGUUAAACGAGGCAGUAGUGAGCGCGGAUGAGCCCAGGCCACGACACUCAGCAUUAGUUUUGCUGGCUCUGCACUCUGAAUUCAUAAGGACAGGAAAGACUGAAGCACCUAAAACAUGACAUCAGAGGAGGAAAUCAAACUGAAGUAGCAUAAAGUGCAGGUGAGUGCAGCUCAGAGGCAGAGCAUGUAGGAGCUAGGAGUAUCCCCACAGCCCGGCCUGACCCCAGCACCAGGGGUCAGGGUGAUAAGAGUUGCCAUUACCCAGGGUUCCCAGGUAACACUCGAGAGUCAGGGAAGGAAAGAACAGUUUAAAGGGGCAGACCAUUCUCCCUUCAAAUACUCCGUUGCAUGUGGAAAACAUAAUGAACAACAACAAACCCACUUUAUGUAAGCCUUCCAGCGGUGGCACAUGCCUUUAAUCCCAGCACUUGGGAGGCAGAGGCAGAAGCAGAGGGGCAGAGGGGCAGAGGGGCAGAGGGGCAGAGGCAGAGGCAGAGGCAGAGGCAGAGGCGCAGAGGCAGAGGCAGAGGGGCAGGGGCAGGGGCAGGGGCAGGGGCAGGGGCAGGGGCAGGGGCAGGGGCAGGGGCAGGGGCAGGGGCAGGGGCAGGGGCAGAGGCAGAGGCAGAGGCAGAGGCAGAGGCAGAGGCAGAGGCAGAGGCAGAGGCAGAGGCAGGUGUCUAGUGAGUUUGAGGUCAGCCUGGUAUACAGAGUAAGUUCCAGGACAGCCAAGGCUACACAGGGAAACCCUGUCUUGAAAACAGAAAAAACCAACUCAUUUUAUAGAGAUAAAGCUAGGCUGGCAAGAUGGCUCAGUGGGUCGAGUACUUGCUGCUUAAGUGUGAGGUUAUAAGUUCAGACAGACCCUUGGCACCCACAAAAAAGCCAGGGGUGGUGGUGUUUGGCUAUAACCCCAGCAUGGGGUGGGGCCAAAGAGAUGGGUGCAUCUUGGGGGUCUUGCUAGCUGGCCAGCCUAGUCUAAACAGUGACGAGGUUCAGUGGUAAACCCUUUCUAAAACAUUACCUUGGAAGUAGUAAAGGAAGGCACUUGGUUUCACUCUGACUCCCAUAGGCACAUGCAUAAUGAAUAUGCAUGCACAUAACAAAUAUGCAUGACCAAACACAUACAUGCACAUGCCAGCACCAGUCCACGGGAACACAAGUGACAAAGUCUAACUGUGCUUGCACUGGGGAGGAGGUACCUUGUAUUUUGAUUAUAAUCAGACCGACCUAACUAAAAUGGUUUACAUUAGAUUACAUUGCUUGGGAUAUUAUAUAUCUUUGAAUAUGGGAAUGAAAUUUGUCAAAGCAUAUACAAGUUACAAAUGAAAUGUUUAAUGCAAAUGGAGAAAGCAUGCCCUUGUUACUUGGCAGUCAGUUCACAUUUGUAUCAUUGGAUAAAAUUGCUGUAGUUUUAUGUAACUUGUAUAACUUUGUUAGUGAAAAAAAGUUUUUAUUCCCACAAAUAAAUGUUUUAAUCUUUUGGGUAAGAAGGAUCUAGUAUCAAAACACAUUCUUGUAUAAGUUACUUAUUAAGGCACAGCAUGUUAUUUAAUCUUAAAUUUAUAUUAGGACCAUUAUUAAUAAGAUGUUUAUUAAUACAUAAUAGUAUUUUUUUAGACAGGGUCUCUAUAUAUAGUCCUGGUUGUCCUAGAACUUGCUAUAUAGACCAAGAGAACAGAGCUCCACCUGCCUCUCCCUCCAGAGUUCUGUGAUUAAAGGCAGGUGACGCCACACUCACUCAAUACAGAACUGUUAGGUUUUGUUGAAGGCACUGGCAUUUUGCCAUGAUACACACACCUUGAUAUGUAUAUGGGCAUACAUGUAUAGACAUAGGCACACUUUACACAAUGGAUUCAGUGAGGAAGUUGGUACUGAGAGAAUUCAGUGGGAGCAGAGCAAGCCUCUGUGUGGGUUUUGCCACCGGCUUGGGAUAGUCUAGGGCCCAGCUUUGCUGUACAUGGAAAAGGUGGGAAAGAAACAAAGCAACACCUUGUGGCAUUAUGAUGAGAUGUUGUCUGUAAUAGACAAAUAUUGUAGGAAAGAACUAAUUGCUCAUUUAAUUGAACCAGAAAACCAUAAAGAGAAAUUUUAGCAAGAGUUCAUUGUACAUUUUUACACCCCAAUGCCCCUGAGCCAGCAAGGCUGGAAAUGUGUGUGUGUGUGUGUGUGUGUGUGUGUGUGUAUGUAUAUAUGUGUGUAUAUAUUUGUAUAUACAUGUGUGUAUGUAUGUGUGUAUAUGUAUAUGUGUAUAUGUGUGUGUAUAUGCAUAUGUUUAUGUGUGUGUGUGUGUGUGUGUGUGUGUGUGUGUUACCAGACCACAGGGUACUCACACACUCUACAUGGUCAUACCACUCACACAGCUUUCUUCCUUGGAACGAUGAAUGACUUGGGUUACUCUGUGGUCAGUUUCCCUGUCCAGGAAGCUGCAGACAUUUCUCUCAAUUCUGGCAUUGUCUGAGAGGUGAUGUAGAAUGCAUAGGGCAGGAUAAAGGUGAAAAUUUGCAUUCUAUAAAAAUAACUAUAAAAACGAAAGAUACCAUGUUAGAGUUAACACUGGCACGCUAAGUUCUAACAACAGCCCACAGGCUUAACUCUGGCAAACAUUUUCAUUAGCUAGGUAAUUCUGGCACAGUUGGGGAUUAUCUGGAGCUUAAAAAUAGCAUCACACUUGCAUUUUAACGUUCAAGUACUAUGAGCUAUAAUGUACUGCUACAAUGUCUUUAUAUUAUAAAAUAAUA
rnacentral:lncRNA from 1 species